UAUGUGACUAUCACGGUGUUAGAGAUCCCGAAAAGAUUUUCAAAUAUCAAACUGAGAGAUUUAAUUUGUGUUAUUUAUAUGCCUGCAUGUAGUUUUCUUUCUUUUUGAAAUAAACAUCUGUGAUAUAUGUGACUGUCACGGUAUAUAAUAUCGCAUAUUUAGAAUCAUAUUCUAUACUUUAAGCAAUAAGUCAGGCUAAACCAAACUAUCCUAAAUUGCUGUAGACUACUACCUCACCCCUCCCCUCCCCUCUCCCCCCUUUUCUGUUUUAGAUACACAAGUGCGUGAAUUUAUUAUUUGCUUUUGUAGUGACUUUUGUGUUGUUGUCGUUGAUUUUUACUUGUGUUUUGAAGUUAAAUUUUAUAUUUGGUAAGAGUAUAUACAUAUACUUUAACUAUAUUGAAAUGUGGUUUGCACGUUGUGGAAGAUAUAUGUUAUGGAUGGUAUGUUGUACAAUGUCCGCUUGCAAAUCUGAAAUCAACACUAUUAUUAUGAUUGAUGUAAUAAUAAAUGACCAUUGUAUAGAUAAAAGUCCAUUGAUUAAAUUAACGAUUACCUAUCUUGACUUAUAAUUGCUAAAUAAAAAUUAGCAAAAUAGUUGAACAAACUACGUCAAGUAAAUUAAUGAAUUGACGGAAUUGACGUAGGUCUAGGGGUGGGGAUGCUCUAAGUGUGUUUGAUUUUAGUAAUAGGUGAUAAAAUUAUUUAAAUAUUUUUGGUAGAGUAUAAUAAUUGUUAAUUAACUAGCCCAUCUAAAACUUGAAGGUGUUAAAGGGAGUCCCCAAAAAGAUCAUAUAUUAUUCAACAAUAAUAAUCACAUAUAAUAGAUUCCUAAACAUUCCCAACUGAAUCAUAAAAUUUUCUAGAUAAAUGUUAAAAUUUUAAAUUCUUUGUUGCUAUCUAAUAUAAUAGCAAUUUAUGAUUUUUUUAUUUUAUCAAACUUUCAAAUAUCAAUGAAUAUUAAUUUUAUAUUUUGCUUUUUGAUUUUCUUCCCUGUCCUUUAUAUAGUCCACAAAACCCUCCGCCGCAGUCCCCUCUCUGUGACUCUGCAAAAAAUAAGGCACACUGCCUCCCUCCUCCCCUCUUAUCCUUUUUCAGUUUUAGAUCCACAAGUGCCUGAAUUUAUUAUUUGCUUUUGUAGUGAUUUUUGUGUGGUUGUCGUUGAUUUUUACUUGUGUUUUGAAGUUAAAUUUUAUUUUUGGUAAGAGUGUAUACAUAUACUUUAACUAUAUUGAAAUGUGGUUUGCACGUUGUGGAGGAUAUAUGUUAUGGAUGGUAUGUUGUGCAAUGUCCACUUGCAGAUCUUAAAUCAACACUAUUAAUUAUCUAAUUUGCCUUAAAUAAUUGCUCUAAAAGGCUGAUUUACGAUUCAUUAGUGUUGCAAACAAGAAGUGUGUAGAUUGAUUGACGGCUAAAAGAUUGCACCUAAGUCGGUAAUUAUAUAUCUUAAUGAUUUAAAACUUAUAUUGUGUCGUUUCUCAUCUGCAGAACUUAUUCUAUAUGUGUCAAUUAUGUUAUUGUGUGAUUCAGGAGAUUUUUCUUUCACAAAUAUAGUACAUGAGUUUUUAUAAGCGUGUUUCUUGUGAACUCCCCCACCUAUAUGGAUUUUAAAAUCAUAAUCAAUGCAAUAAUUAUCUAUUGUGACUUUUGUGUGGUUUUCGUUGAUUUUUACUUGUGUUUUGAAGUUAAAUUUUAUAUUUGGUAAGAGUGUAAACAUAUACUUUAACUAUAUUGAAAUGUGGUUUGCACGUUGUGGAGGAUAUAUGUUAUGGAUGGUAUGUUGUACAAAUUCCACUUGCAGAUCUGAAAUCAACACUAUUAAUUAUCUAAUUUGCCUUGAAUAAUUGCUCUAAAAGGCUGAAUUUACGAUUUAUUAGUGUUGCAAACAAGAAGUGUGUAGAUUGAUUGACGGCUAAAAGAUUGCACCUAAGGCGUUAAUUAUAUUUCUUAAUGUUGUAAUACUUAUUUUGUGUCAUUUCUCAUGUGCAGAAUUUAUUCUAUAUGUUUUAAUUAUGUUAUUAUGUGAUUCGGGAGAUUUUUCCGUCACAAAAAUAGUACAUAAGUUUUUACAAGCGUUUUUAUUGUGAAGUCCCCCACCUAUAUGGAUUUUAAAAUCAUAAUCAAUGCAAUAAUUAUCUAUUGUGUUUUCAAUACUUGCUUUGAAGGUUUGAACUUUCAAGCUCAUAAGUCAGCCCCAGAGAAGGAAAGUUGGAGCUUGACUAUAACAUACUACAUUUAAAGUUGUGGAUUAAGCUACUUUACAGUUUGAUCAAUUGCACUUUACAAUUAUUUAUGUAGUCUUCACACAUAUGAGUUGCAGGUACUAACAGAACUACUUAGUGUCUGUAAUAUAUAUUCAAUUAUAAUAAAUAUUAGCAUCUGAAAGUUAAAUAUGGAAACCUCUGGUGGGAGGUUGAUUAAUUUUAAAGUUGAAUGCUUUCAGAGCAGGGUGAAUUCUAUAUUACUUUGGAGUCACUGAAAGUCACUUAAGUCUUGUCUAUAGGAAGCGGAAGUUUAUCUGCAACCUGGUUCUGCAUGUUAAAUUUUUGUAAUACUGAAUGAAGGUAACCUGUGAUAUCUUAUUCAUUAAGGUUUUAUAUUUUAAUUGUCAAUAUUGACCGCCGAGAACCUUGAAAGUACAGUAACAAAUUUUUUGUUCUUGAUUCAAUGAGUGACGGGGAAGAGGGUACACUUAUGAGGCAUUUUAAACCGGCUUCUUCAGUUCAGGAAGUGCCAAAAGUAAAAGCUCCAGGUCCUGAUCGGCUAAGCUCUGUGCAGGCUUUUCAUGGCAGAGCUGCGGCAUACUAUGCCACAAUUGUAGCUUCUCCUACCCUCAAUCCCAAUACGUGGAGAAGUCAGG